AAACAUACAGACAGGUCCAUAAUCCUUACACCAUCAGUUAACAAGUGAAAAGCUAUACUGUAGGCAAGAUUACUUUUCACUGGAGAAAGUAAUAUUAUGGAUAGAGGACUCGUAAGGACUAGUUUGAAAUUAAAAAAAAAGGUGCAAGAUAAAUGCUGUUCCAAGCCUUCGAACCAGGAACCAUGUAAACAUAAAAAAUGAAUAAAUAAUAAAUAAAUAAACAGCACUUCCAGAAUCCAUCAAGAAGCAUUUUCCGCGAUUUUCAAGUUGUUAGCACCUUGUGAUGCCUUUUACUUGGCUUUUAUUUGUGACUGGAUGCCUUUGACCACAUUUGAAAAAUUUGCAAGGUAAUUUUAUGCAGACGAGGACAUUUCACGGUUAGGGUAGAGUGCUUAAACAUGGGUUAAAUGCAUUC
ensembl:lncRNA